rnacentral:rRNA from 1 species
GAUGAACGCUGGCGGCGUGCCUAAUACAUGCAAGUCGAGCGAACGGGCGAGAAGCUUGCUUUUCUGAUGUUAGCGGCGGACGGGUGAGUAACACGUGGAUAACCUACCUAUAAGACUGGGAUAACUUCGGGAAACCGGAGCUAAUACCGGAUAAUAUUUUGAACCGCAUGGUUCAAAAGUGAAAGACGGUCUUGCUGUCACUUAUAGAUGGAUCCGCGCUGCAUUAGCUAGUUGGUAAGGUAACGGCUUACCAAGGCAACGAUGCAUAGCCGACCUGAGAGGGUGAUCGGCCACACUGGAACUGAGACACGGUCCAGACUCCUACGGGAGGCAGCAGUAGGGAAUCUUCCGCAAUGGGCGAAAGCCUGACGGAGCAACGCCGCGUGAGUGAUGAAGGUCUUCGGAUCGUAAAACUCUGUUAUUAGGGAAGAACAUAUGUGUAAGUAACUGUGCACAUCUUGACGGUACCUAAUCAGAAGGCCACGGCUAACUACGUG